CUUGAGCGAGCCCAGCCACAGCGGCCGCCCGUCGGGCCGGUCCUGGCCGUACGUGGCGAUGAUCGCCUGCGCCUC
rfam:Streptomyces sp. Mg1, complete genome.